CCUACGGGCGGCAGCAGUGGGGAAUAUUGGACAAUGGGGGGAACCCUGAUCCAGCCAUGCCGCGUGUGUGAAGAAGGCCCUCGGGUUGUAAAGCACUUUCAGUGAGGAAGAACGCCUGGUGGUUAAUACCCAUCAGGAAAGACAUCACUCACAGAAGAAGCACCGGCUAAGUCCGUGCCAGCAGCCGCGGUAAUACGGAGGGUGCGAGCGUUAAUCGGAAUUACUGGGCGUAAAGCGCGCGUAGGUGGCUUGAUAAGCCGGUUGUGAAAGCCCCGGGCUCAACCUGAGAACGGCAUCCGGAACUGUCAAGCUAGAGUGCAGGAGAGGAAGGUAGAAUUCCCGGUGUAGCGGUGAAAUGCGUAGAGAUCGGGAGGAAUACCAGUGGCGAAGGCGGCCUUCUGGACUGACACUGACACUGAGGUGCGAAAGCGUGGGUAGCAAACAGGAUUAGAUACCCCAGUAGUC
rnacentral:rRNA from 1 species